rnacentral:lncRNA from 1 species
CGGCGCAGCGCCUCAGCUCCGCCCAUACUCGCUCCGCCCUGGUGGGCUCCAGCCUUUCCCUUUCCCUGGGGCUCAGCCUCCCAAUCAGUCAAAUGGGCAGAUUAACACCCAUGGCCUUGACUCCGUCAGAGACUGGGGGAAGAAAUCGUGAGUCAGGGCAGCGAGGUCUGCGGGGAGCGUUGUGAAGGUGUGAAGUGCUGAGCUCCCAGGUCCCUGGCUGCCACCAUGGGCUCGGAGCCGCGUGGUGAGUUCGCUUUCAUUCCUUAAAAACAGGCAGCCGCUAAGUGGAGAAACUGGGACACCCUUUGCAUCUUCUCAAUCUUAGUUCAGUGCUGUUUCCAAUAAACCACGGCUAUCCUUUAUCAGGGAUAAAGUCCUUUGGAUCAUCCAACUUCAGCUUGGACAGAGUUUCCUGAUAAAUAACAACAACAAUCAUAGUUGCCUGUGUUUCCCAGAAAACAAAGAUGAGGCAAAAGCUUAUGUGCUUUAGCACAUAAAGUGCAUUGUUGGAAGAGUGCAUUCCCAGGCUGCAGGAGUGAGGAAAAAGGAGAAGGAGGCAGAAAAGGAUGAAAAGAAAAUACAAGGAAGCUUCUAUCAAGCUGGGCACAGACUGGGGACAGCCUCACUGCACGGUCUUGCAGAACGUUCUCAGAGAUGGGACAGGAGCUGCUGUAGGUUCAGUCUACCUGGGAAAGAGGGAGAGGGAUUUGCUCACCAAAUCCCAUGUCCCAUUCGUCAAUGUCUGCCCCACGAGGUAUUAAUUUCCAGCACUCCCGGAGCUGCCUGAAUGUGGGCCCCCAAGGGUCCCUUGGAGUUGAGAUCUCAAAGUUGAUGUGAUGGGUAUGAUGGAUGUGAAAGAUGGAGCAGCAGCAGCCGGUUUGCAGCCUUGAGGGAAAGGCCAAGAGGCUUGUGGAAGUCUCGGUGAUGCCAUCUCCAAGAUGCUGAACCACGACCAGCAAUUUCCUACCCCAGAUUUCUCAAGAUUUGAGGAAAACAGUUAUGUAAUUAAGUUUCUAUAGCUACGCUUUCUGUUCCUGGAAGCUGAAAGCAUUCCUGAUUAAUGUGGUUAGUUUUCUGUUCAACUAGCAAACAGUACAGUGGUAAUGACAGAGUCCUAGACUAUCUGGGCUGAAAGGAACCUCAAACAGAGGUCAACCAGUGACCUGUCCUUUCAUUUCACAGGGACGAAAAGGGACAGGAAAGGGGUCCUUUCUGGGGUGCUUGUCCAGGGUGCUUCAGGGAGAGAGGGGUGGAACCAGGACUGUUUUCUGCAUUUCUCAGCAGCUCACGGUUGCUUUCACCACACCUCACUGAUGUGUGCUAUCUUCCAGGCAAUAAUGACAAGAGCCACCAUUUACUUAUUAGGCCAGGUGCAGAUUAAGUACUUUGCCUAUAUCAAUUCAUUACAUUCUCACCAAACUCCUCCAAGGGAGACAGUCUUGUUAUCAUUUGCAUUUAUGAGGAUGAAGCCAAGCACAGAGAGAUCAAGUAACUUGUCCAAGUAUCCAAAUCCAGACAUUGUAGUGAUGAUGACUCCAACCUCAGGAGUCUGGAGCCUGAGCUCCCACAUGGAACCACUAGGCUGUACUGCCUGGGUGGGGUUUCAGAAAUGCUGGUAUAAGAUUCCAGGCUGGUAGGAGCUUCUUAGGGUGAGACGAGUAGGGGCAAAUCAGCAGGGCCACCUCUCUGGUAAAGUCCUUGGGGCACUGCUUCCGGGAAACACAAUGUCAGUGGUGCCACUGGGCUGUCCAAUGUGGUGGCCCCAGGGUUUUGUCCCUGCAAGUGUCACACUGUGAGUUCCUCAGGAACUAGAUGACAACAUAAACAAAUGAAGCCAGGUGACUAUAGUGAGGGGUGUGGAAUGAGGCCAAUUGGGG